AUAAGUAUUGAGGAAGAUUUAGAUUUUCUUGAGCAACUUGAAGAAGAUUUGGCUAAACUUGGAAAAGAACUUUGCAUUGAUGACAUGUAAAAUUGGAGGUUUCCUUCACUAACUCUACUAAAGGAGAAGGAAGAUUUCAUCAUGCCUCGAUUUCAUGGUUCUAAUGCUCGAUCACCUGUUUGGAAUCACUAUGAAAAGCUUGAAGAAAAAGAAGAUGGAUCGUGGACAGUAAAAUGUGUUCA